rnacentral:rRNA from 1 species
UGACCUCAAAUCAGGUAGGACUACCCGCUGAACUUAAGCAUAUCAAUAAGCGGAGGAAAAGAAACUAACAAGGAUUCCCCUAGUAACUGCGAGUGAAGAGGGAAAAGCUCAAAUUUAAAAUCUGGCAGUCUUUGAUUGUCCGAAUUGUAAUUUAGAGAAGUG